GAAAGGGAGAAACCUACACCCAUGCUCAUCCUAUUGGAAAAGAAGACUUUUGUGUUUAUCCUGGCUGUGUACCUCAUUCUGCCAUCCUUGGUGUCAUGAAGUACAGGGGUUUCCCUCUUCCUUCAGUUUACUUGGCCCUUGUUAGAAGUGUCUUUGGGGGUUACAAAUGGUGCAGACUAAAGCAGGGGUAGCUAAGCCUGUGACCCUUCAGAUAUUUUGUUGUUGUUGUUUAGUCGUUUAGUCGUGUCCGACUCUUCGUGACCCCAUGGACCAGAGCACGCCAGGCACUUCUGUCUUCCACUGCCUCCCGCAGUUUGGUCAAUCAUAGAAUUGUAGGUUGGAAGGGACCCUGAGGAUCAUCUAGUCCAAGCUCCUACAAUGCAGGAAUAUGCAACUGUCUGAUAUGGGGAUGGACUCCAACUCCCACCAGCCUCAACCAAUGUUGCCAGUAGUCAUAGAAGAGGGGAGAUGUAGUUUAACUUGUGGAGGGCCACAGCUCGUAGCACUUACUAAUUGAUUCCCUGAGCUAGUUUGCUGAGAUUAAUUUGGGGGAGGAGAGGGAAGAAAGAUUAACCUCUCAAACUGGUAAACAAGUAUUUAUGCAAAUACUGUACAGAAGAGGGUAUGCUACCAAAGCAAGCUGCUUUUGAAAAGCUUUGUGUAUCCACAGGCUCUUGUCACAUUCCAUGGCAACUGAUGGGAACUGUCUCCAUGCAGGCAAAUCAUGACUUGGAAUCUUGCUUCUAUUAGCAGUUUGUAUUGUUUAUACAGCUCAUCAUUUGUGCUUUUCAGUCAACGUGUCCUGCUGUGCAAAGUUUGUUGGGCUUUAACAAAGCAGGUACCUCUUUUGCUAUACGUAGGGCUGCAAAGCAGCCUGUCCCAAGCUGGUGCCCUCCAGAAAUUUUGGACCACAGCUCUCAUCAUCUCAGAUGAGCAUGGUCAGUGAUCAGGGAUGAUGGGUGUUGUAGUUCAGCAACAUCUGGAGAGCCAGAGGUUCACCACACCUGCUUUUCAGGCGUCUUGCAAAGCUGUGAUGCUGUUUAUGCAAACAAACCUAGCUCAAGUUUUGCAGGAGAUUCUUGAAGGGUGGUUGGCUGCCUUUCAUAAAUGCAUGCAUGCAAUGUCUGAAGAGUACUUGAAACUUGUGUAUUAUUGCUCAGCCUUGAUGUGUGUAUGUCUAUACAGUACACUUAUAUUAACAGAUCUGGAAGGUGCACAUCUGAACGUCCCCAGAUUUUUAAGAGUGAACAUGGUUGCUUUAUGCUGGGGAGAAUCACGGCAAAUUAUGCUAUAGUUGGUGGAGAUGGCUGUUCCCAUUAGGAGCAUUUGCUAACAGCUCUUGCUUCUGCUCUACAGGUUCAGAAUUGUCCUGGCAGAUGAAUAUGUGAUGAUGAACUUAGACAGAGGGAGCUAAGUUUUGGUGCCCACUGCUCUGUGUUAAGAUGUUCUUUAGUUGUGGUAGGAAUAGGAACUGGUCUGUUGCUGAGAAGAUUGAGGGCAUUCUUUACUGCCAAGUUCGUGUCCAAGUUCCUAACCUUUUCUAGAUGUGUCCUUUGUUGUUGACUGACAAAACAGAAAGUGGCUCAGAACCCCAUACAGGAACAGUUUCCUUUUAUGUUAGUUGGCAAGGGGAUCUUUGGCACUUGCAUUGUGGGGCUAUUUCUGGCCAAUUUUCUGUGGUCAAAUCUCUAAUUUUUAUUUUCACAGGUGCCACGCUGGUGCUUGGAAUGAGCACAAGCUGUGAUGUUUGAGAUACUGAUAUAUUGGAACACUUCAGGUUGCUUAGGAACAGAAGGAAAAGAAUACCAUGGAAGAGUAGGAAGUGUCACUUUUCAGAGAAAGCACAAUCUCUCUCUCUUUCUCCAGUCCUAAAGCAGAGACAAAAGGCAUCUGUUGGACUCAGCUGUGUGUUAAAUUGCCGGGUGAGGCGCACCCAAGGAUCCAUGUAUUGCUGAAACAGACAAACAAGGCUUUCAACAAGGUCCCCCAUGAUAUACUUCUUGGCAAGCUGGUAAAAUGUGGGCUGGGAGGUUCUCCUGUUAGAUUGGUUUGCAGCUUGUUGAUGGACACUUGUCAAUCGGGAGAAAAAUGGCAUGUGAGGGAGCUGUGAGGUUCUCUCCUGGGCCCAGUGUUGUUUAAUGUCUUUUAUGAAGGAUGAAGGAGUGGUGGGGUCACUAAUCAACUUGGCAGGUGACACCAAGCUAGCUGGGUAGUAUAGCUAAUGCCUUUGAAGACAAAAAUAGUACCCAAGAUCUUGACAGGAUGGAGAUUUUAGGUAUGCUGUAAGCCGCCCAGAGUGGCUGGUGAAACCCAGCCAGAUGGAGGGGUAUAAAUAAUAAAAUUAUUAUUUGUUAUAGAACUAACAAAUUUCUCAACCAGGAUAAAUGUCAAGGUCUGUGUUUAGGUGGGAGGAAUUGGAUGCUUAAAUACAGAGUGGAUGACAUCUGGCUUGACAGCAGUACAUGUGAAAAGGACGUAGGGGUUUUAGUAAACUACAAGCUCAGCAAAUGUGAGCAGUGUGAUGUGGCAUCUAGAAAGGCUAAUGCAAUUCAAGGUUGUGUCAACAGCUGCAUAGUGUCCAGAUCACAGUAAGUAAUGAUACCACUCUGUUCUGCUUAUGUUGGAUCUCACCUGGAGGCACUACAAUUUAAGGAUAUCUAAGAACCGGAACGUGUCCAGAGAAGUCUGACAAAGUGUCUGGGUGAACCAAGUCCUGUGAUGAAAGGUUGAAUGAGUUGGGCAUAUUUAGUCUGGAAAAGAGGCAAUUAGAGAGAUGAUGAUAAUAACCAUCUUCAAAAAUGUGAAGCACUGUCUCACAGAUGGUGGAACAAAUUUAAUUUCUGUCACUCCAGCAGGUAGGAUCUGAAUCAAUGGGUUCAGAUAAAAAGAAAAAGAAAUAUUUAGAUUCAGGUGAGCUGUGGAGCAAGUUGCCUGUGAAGGUGGUCUACUCUCUUUCAAGAAGAGGCUGAAUGUCCUUCCCUCUCAGGUAUGCUGCAGUGGUGAAUUUCCCCCAUCUGAAGAUGGUCAGACUAGAGGACCUUUGAGAUAUCUUACAACUCUGAUUCUAUGCAAGCAUGCACAAACAUAGCCCCCCUCCCUUUUUCACAUCUGCCCAUCUGUCCCCCUCUCCAACAGGUUUAUUCUUAGAUCCUUGUUUGAAACAAGUGCAGGGGAUCUCAAAAUAAGAGAGAUCUACAUUGGAAGGGCAUUGAUUCUCAUAUACUUCUCUUAUCCGCCCAGAAAUCCUCUUGAGAUGAAUGUGGGCAGCAAAUAUCUUUGUGGUCUAACAAAAAUCAUGGGAAGGUGACAUUAAUGAAGAGGGGAACCGGUUGGGGGUUAUGUGAGGACAGAAUCUGAUUGGACUAGCUGCUUUGAAGUCCUCCACAUAUGAGAACCUGAAGUUGAGGUAGAGAAAGUUUAGCACAGCUUUUACCCAUCUGGCACCCUCCAGAUGUUUUGGACUACAAUUCCCAUCAGCCUCAGCUACGGCUGUGUGGGCUGCAGCUGAUGGGAGUGGCAGUUCAGAACAUCUGGAGGGUGCCUGUUUGGCAAAGAGUGCUUUAGUGGGAAACAGAACAGAUUCUGAUGUUGAAAAUAUUCUAGUAUUCCUUUGCAGAAUAAUAGAUGUCAGAAUGCCUGGACCCUUUUAAUUGGGGCGUCUUGUUUACACCUUUAGCUGAAUGUGGAAGGAGAUACUGUGCCAUGCUUUAUUUCUUGGGGGGUGGGGAACCAUGGCUGUCCAUACUAUAUUACAUUGCAGAUUGCAGAGCCUGUCGGCAGUGAGAGAAUCUUCUGGUUAUGAAGGUUGCUGCAGUACCUAAACACCUGUCUCUCUUAGCAACAGGAAGGAGAGCUGCCUAGGUUGCUCUGAUCCUUCAAAAGCAGGCAUAUUUG
rnacentral:lncRNA from 1 species